AUGGCGUCGCCGCCGCCGUGGUCCGACGACCUCCUAGGCCUCCUCGUCGCCGUCCUCGACGCGGUGUGCUCUUCCAGCUGGCGCUCCGUUGCUUCGCCUUCUUCGCCGUGGUCGGAACUCCCAGACGAGAUCCUAAAUCUGGUGAUGGCCGGCCUCCCUAACCUGGCAGACCGCGCUCGAUUCCAGGCGGUGUGUCGAUCCUGGCGCGCCUCGGCUCCGCCUCCGCCGCAAGUGCCGUGGAUGCAGACGGUCCUGCGUUCCUGGCAAGCGGUUUCCUGCCCCCCUCCGCGGCAGCGGCCUUGGAAGUGGAUCGACUCCGCGUGCCGCCGUCCGUCCGUCCCCUCACGUCUGCCGCAGCGGCCUUGGAUCGUGCUGCCCGGCGGCUUCUACAACCACGACGGCAUCUACACUUACAUCAGAGAGUGCACAGGACACGGGUUCGCCACUGGCAUGCAGGAGUACACCCCGUUCAAGCGCUCCAACAUCAACAGCUCCUUCCCCGACAGAUUGCGAUGCGUUGGCUCCACCGACAGCUGGCUCGCCCUCGACUACGCUGAUGAUAAGAACAAAAUUCAUAUGUACUUCUUGCACAAUCCUUUCUCUAAGGAAGUUGUGGCUCUCCCCGAGCUGGAUGCCAUCGUCGGUAAUAGUUCCGAGUUAUUUCAGAUCCGCAAGGUGCUCAUCCGAUUGACCCCUGAUGACCAGCUAGUCGUUAUCAUGACCAACAAUUGGAACUAUCCGAUCAUCUUAAUCCGACCGGGAAAGGGCGCGUGGUUACCGAGGCCACAAGCAACCCCCUUCAUCAACAUUAUUGACAUCGUGCUCCUAGGAAACAGGCUCUACGGGAUCACCCAGGCAGAGGACCUCUUCUCCUUGAAUAUAAGCUUUAAUGCUGAUGGCUUACCCACAGUCACCAAUAUCAAGCACCACAUCAGAUCGGGCGAUGCUGAUUCCAUUGUGGAGAGCGACUUAGAUGAAGACCAACACACGUAA
rnacentral:rRNA from 1 species